UACAGAGGUCGCGAGCGUUGUCCGGAAUGACUGGGCGUAAAGGGCGUGUAGGCGGCUCUUUAAGUUUGGAGUGAAAGUCCUGCUUUCAAGGUGGGAAUAGCUUUGAAUACUGGAGAGCUUGAGUGCGGAAGAGGUAAGUGGAAUUCCCAGUGUAGCGGUGUAAUGCGUAGAGAUUGGGAGGAACACCAGUGGCGAAGGCGACUUACUGGGCCGUAACUGACGCUGAGGCGCGAAAGCGUGGGGAGCGAAC
rnacentral:rRNA from 1 species